rnacentral:lncRNA from 1 species
GGUCCCGGCCGCUCCCUCGUUUUGCUGGUCCAGCCCGGGAUCCGGCGGGUCUCAGAUAUGGGGCAGGGAGGGUGCCUACGAUAAAACCGCAGCGCUGCAGGAGAGCAGGGAGUGUGCGGAAAGCAGUGAGGGUAGCCUCAGAACGCUGCAGGCGCGCUUGUGUGGUUCACGCCGAGCUGGAGGCCGGGAGCGCAGGUGACAGGGCACGGAGGUGCCUCCCUCGCCGGGAAGAAGCUGAAGCAGCGGUUUGCUCCCGCCUAACCCCGAGAAUGCGAGGGAGGCGGUGAUUUUUAUUGUAAAUAGUCAAACUCUCCUUGUGAUGACCUCAUCCCUGACAGAUGUGUCUUCGGAUCCUACCAGAAUAAGGCACUUAAAAAAAUUAAAUCCAGUUUUGGAAUUUAUCUGAUGUAAAAUAUAUUUAUUUUCUUUGGAGUUGAAGGGCCAGACAAUUCUGCUGUCAUGGGUUUUAUUGGCUUCCUCGGCCAGUGGUACAUUUCACUGGGUGGUUUUUUUUUUUUUUUUCUUCCAGUAACAAAAAGGAUGUUUUAGGCAUGUGUCCAUUCCCAGGGUCCCCGGGACCCAGGAGUUCCUCACACCUUCAAAACACAAGAGACCAGAGAAGCCCUCCUGCUAGAAGGGACUGGUCUCUGGCAUGUGGGAGACCUUGGUAGGCAACUCAGGGGAGGCUGAGCCAUGUUCCUGGGAGAGGGCGGGGUGGGGGGGCAGCCUGCUGUGGCCACUUUGCUCCUGAUCUUGCACUCAGUCCUCCCUCCUUGGCCCCUCCUUGUCCUUCCUGGCCCCCUCCCAUCAACACUCGCCACCUGGAGACAAGUCCUCGUGGCCAGUGCUGACCUGCUUUUCUAAGAAAGAUAAAGUGCUUUCAGCAGCUUCUACGGUAGGUGGGGACUGCUGGUACCCGGGUUGACCUUCCAGGUUAGUCUCCAUAGCAACUGCUCCCCCCCACCCAGCUCUGGCAGCGUCUCAGCUGGACUAUGGGUCCCCAGCUUUCUUUGCUGAGUUCUCAAGGGAAUGUAUGUGCCAUUUGCUGGUGGAGGCUUUCAACACGUGGGUGUGUCCUCAUCCCCCUGUCCCAGGCUUCUGUCCUCUGCCUCUGUCAGGAUGUGGACAGUGAGGCCCUGGGGAAGAACUGGCUUCCUGAAUGCUGUGUGGAGGAGAGCUGCCCACUGCCAGGAAUCAGCCGCCUGGGACUUCAUGUGCGGAGGACUGCUAUUUCACAUCCGCUAGAGGCUCAAGGGCUGAAGAGAGUUGGUAGCUGGCUCCAACCGUCCUCCUGUGAUUUUGUGAAGUGGAACAAAGCCCACAAAACCAGGGCUACUAUUGUAGCAAGAACACAGUGUGAAAUGAAGCAGAGUUUUGGCAAUUUGAGUCUUAAUUUGACAUAUAGAUAGAAAUGUAGAAUUACAUAGGUCAGAAUUUUAAUAAAGAGAUUUUCUGAAUUAUCUAGUUUGAUAUA